GCUUACGGCCAUACCACCUGAACACGCCGAUCUCGUCCGAUCUCGGAAGCUAAGCAGGGUCGGGCCUGGUUAGUACUUGGAUGGGAGACGCCUGGGAAUACCAGGUGCUGUAAGCU
rnacentral:rRNA from 1 species